AACGAACGCUGGCGGCAUGCCUAACACAUGCAAGUCGAACGAGACCUUCGGGUCUAGUGGCGCACGGGUGCGUAACGCGUGGGAACCUGCCCUUAGGUUCGGAAUAACUCCCCGAAAGGGGUGCUAAUACCGGAUAAUGUCUUCGGACCAAAGAUUUAUCGCCUUUGGAUGGGCCCGCGUUGGAUUAGCUAGUUGGUAGGGUAAAAGCCUACCAAGGCGACGAUCCAUAGCUGGUCUGAGAGGAUGAUCAGCCACACUGGGACUGAGACACGGCCCAGACUCCUACGGGAGGCAGCAGUGUGGAAUAUUGGACAAUGGGCGAAAGCCUGAUCCAGCAGUGCCGCGUGAGUGAUGAAGGCCUUAGGGUUGUAAAGCUCUUUUACCCGGGAUGAUAAUGACAGUACCGGGAGAAUAAGCUCCGGCUAACUCCGUG
rnacentral:rRNA from 1 species